GACGAACGCUGGCGGCGUGCCUAAUACAUGCAAGUCGAGCGAACCGCGACUAGGUGCUUGCACUUGGUCAAGGUGAGUGGCGAACGGGUGAGUAACACGUGGGUAACCUACCUCAUAGUGGGGGAUAACAGUCGGAAACGACUGCUAAUACCGCAUAGGACAUGGGAUCACAUGAUUCUGUGAGGAAAGGUGGCGCAAGCUAUCGCUAAGAGAUGGACCCGCGGUGCAUUAGCUAGUUGGUAGGGUAACGGCCUACCAAGGCGAUGAUGCAUAGCCGACCUGAGAGGGUGAUCGGCCACAUUGGGACUGAGACACGGCCCAAACUCCUACGGGAGGCAGCAGUAGGGAAUCUUCCGCAAUGGACGCAAGUCUGACGGAGCAACGCCGCGUGAGUGAAGAAGGUCUUCGGAUCGUAAAGCUCUGUUGUUAGAGAAGAACAGCGCAUAGAGUAACUGUUAUGCGUGUGACGGUAUCUAACCAGAAAGCCACGGCUAACUACGUG
rnacentral:rRNA from 1 species